rnacentral:tmRNA from 1 species
GGGGGUGAACGGUUUCGACUCUGGACGUUGAUUCAGGUGAAGCGUGCCGGUGCAGGCGAGAGACCACCGUAAGCGUCAUCGCAAACCAAUAAGCGCCAAGGCCAAUAGCCAGCGCGACUUCGCCCUCGCUGCCUAAGCGAGUGCGAGUCUGUCGGCCCGGGAGUGCCUCCGUCCCGGUCGCCGGCAUCAGCUAGGAGGCUUACCGCCGUUCCCGGUCACGGGGACCGGUUGGGAAACCAACAGUGGCUGGGCCCGUCACAUCGGCUUGUUCGCGUGACCGAUGGGGCCAAGUAGAGACACAGCGGACUGCGCACGGAGAAGCCCUGAAAAGGCGACAGAGGACCCGGGUUCGAUUCCCGGCACCUCCACUC